AAUAGACUACCCAGGUAGUCCACGCCGUAAACGAUGGAUACUAGCUGUUUGAGCGGCAAGUUUGAGUGGCUAAGCGAAAGUGAUAAGUAUCCCACCUGGGGAGUACGGGCGCAAGCCUGAAACUCAAAGGAAUUGACGGGGGCCCGCACAAGCGGUGGAGCAUGUGGUUUAAUUCGAUGAUACGCGAGGAACCUUACCAGGGCUUAAAUGUAGAUCGACGUAUUUGGAAACAGAUAUUUCUUCGGACAAUUUACAAGGUGCUGCAUGGUUGUCGUCAGCUCGUGCCGUGAGGUGUCAGGUUAAGUCCUAUAACGAGCGCAACCCCUGUUGUUAGUUGCCAGCGAGUAAUGUCGAGAACUCUAGCAAGACUGCCAGUGUAAACUGUGAGGAAGGUGGGGAUGACGUCAAAUCAUCACGGCCCUUACGUCCUGGGCCACACACGUGCUACAAUGGCCGGUACAGAGAGCAGCCACUUAGCGAUAAGGAGCGAAUCUAUAAAGCCGGUCACAGUUCGGAUCGGAGU
rnacentral:rRNA from 1 species